GAUGAACGCUGGCGGCGUGCCUAACACAUGCAAGUCGAACGGAAAUGUUUUGAUGAAGAUUUCGGUUGGAUUCAUUUCAUUUUAGUGGCGGACGGGUGAGUAACACGUGGGUAACCUGCCCUGUACCGGGGGAUAACACUUAGAAAUAGGUGAUAAUACCGCAUAAGCGCACACUGACGCAUGUCAGAGUGUGAAAAACUCCGGUGGUACAGGAUGGACCCGCGUCUGAUUAGCUUGUUGGCGGGGUAACGGCCCACCAAGGCGACGAUCAGUAGCCGGCCUGAGAGGGUGAACGGCCACAUUGGGACUGAGACACGGCCCAGACUCC
rnacentral:rRNA from 1 species